CACAAUCCCUCCGGUCCAUAUAAAAUCUCUCUCUCUCUCUCUCUCUCUCUCUCUCUCUUUGAUCUUCGUCUAAAAUUCACAACUCUCUCUCUCUCUAGAACUCGCAUUCUUGCUGUGAUCCGAAUCCAUGGAAGAUCAAACGGCGGAAAUGUUCCCCCGGAACUGCAAAGACCUCAUUCCAGAUCUCGACUCCAAGCCCUCGUCGACCUCGUCGACCUUUUAAUUUUUUUGAAUUACAAUAAAUGUUGAAUUUGAGGUUCAGAUUCGAUUAUUACUGCUUCUUAUAAUUUGAAUUUUAUUUCCGGUCGAAGAAAAUGUUGAAGUGGGAAAUUUUCUGAUUCGAUUUCAUCCCUCUUUUACUUGAGUUAAAGCCCUAGAGACGAUUACAUCUGCAAUUAUUGGCUUUUUUAAUCUCUAAUUUUGUAAUAAAAAUUGGGAACUCUUUCAAUUGAACUGUUACAUUGUGAAUUUCAAUUGAGUUGUUCCGUCGAGGGAGAUUCUGAGUUGAUUGGUGAGAGUAGCACGUCGAACGGAACUCAAGAAGGUUCUCCAUGUCGGAUGGUCCCUCCAGUUUUGCAAAGCAUACUAGAGGCACCAUUGUUUUCCCAAAUUUCAGUCACCAAAUAUGUGGAAGUUGGUAUCAGACGCGAGUCAGGCGUCACCAAUUAUACUGUGAAUUCCGGUUACAUGUAGAAUUUGGGUUUAUUUUGGUGCCGGUAGCACUGCUCUUAAAAUACAAAGGCGCUUGCCUCUUCAUUGUAUUUAGCAACCCCAGUAUUGUUUCAUUUCACUCUGAACUAUCUGCCAAUUACUUGACGUAUUUCUGCUUUUUGGAGAAUACAUCUCAUAUGGAAAACCUGUCCUUAAUGUUUUUUCAAACAAGUACGUAUGUUUCUUUUGCAGGUUGUUUCUUGCCCUUGUGCACCACCUAAAAUUUUUUGUUGUUGCAUAUUGUUCCUCAUAUACCAAAAGCUUUUGAAUGUGACAGCUUAUUCGAAGGAAAGCUGCACUUAGUUGCUGGCCCUUUCGAACAUGCUUACAAUUAUGACUCGUUAUGACAUUAAUGUAGUUCUGGAAGGUUCUGAUUUUACUUUUACUGCACUGAAAAAUGAGCAGGAGCAAGGCAAGGGCUCCUUGUGAGAGGAGCAGAUGUGCUUGAACGCUUAGCCGGUGUAGAUUAGAUUGCUUUAGAUAAGAAGGACUGACAUGGAGAACCUUCUUGUCUGAUGAAGCCAAGCUCACAAUGAAUCCCUUUCCGGACCCUGCAGUUCUAAACACCAUUCAGCUGCCAAGUAUUGAACAUGAACUUUUAAACAAGAACAAUAGAGACGUUACAAUGAAGUAGUUGAUUAAUGGGGUGGGAGUGAUUUGAGUGGAGUGAAUCGGUCCACAUGCAGAAGCUUGAUCAGAAUUGUCCUGGUAUGAUUUCUAAAUACCCAUUUUAUAACUGCUGCUUGCUAUGACUGUGCUUAGAAACAUGCAUAGGACUUAACUGCUAGAUAAACCAGAUUAGGAAUGACCUUAGAGACUUAGCAAUUCAAUGAUAGGCUAGGAUCAUAUAUAUGCUUGUCUGCUUUGACUGUCCUUUGCGUGAAAUUCGAUUGCUUUGAACUGCUUAAAUUUUCUACGAUAUGUGAUAGCUUAGAACUCUUGUGGUUGAUGUGAAUGAAUGAAUUGCUGCUGGAUGCAGGAUCCAGUUUUACUUUAUUUUCCUUACACGUCUUAAGAUGAGAUAGGGCCGCCUUGUACGUCUUAAUUGCAACCUACGAAAGUCCAAAGUUUUUCAAUCAAAAGCCGGUUUAUAUCAACUUAGUUUUUCACAAUAGAAGUUUGAAUUUGUUUUGAAAAGAUGAGAAUUUUAUCCAACAAAAUAAAUGCUUUUUUCGAAUUAAAAACACACAGCAAACAAGAAUUUUAUUGCAAACAAGGAUUUUCACAUCUAACAAUUUGUACACACGAAACAAAAUAGAAAGUUGAAAAUACAAAACUUUAAACUAGUAUUACUGAAAGAAAAACAUAUGUUUUGGAUUUUUUUCAAGUUAGGGUUAGAAAAUUGGGCUGCCUCCUAAUAAGCGCUUUAGUUAACGUCUAUAGCUAGACGUAGUAGAAGAUCGAUGGUCAAAUCACUUGUUCCUUCAAAGCCACUAACUCACGUGCGCUAUCGUAGGAUGAAUCCAAGUAUGGUUUCAUCAUGUGAUCAUUCACCUUGAAUGUGUUACCACUUUACUUAUUAAUAAUGUCGACAACCUCAUGAGGAUAGAUGUUAAUAAGCCAGUAUGGCCCGUUCCAGCAGGACUUCAACCUCAUUAUGAAUUUCGUCUAGCUCGUUAAACUGCAAUUUACGGUUAGCACCCGCAAAUCAUAGGCAAAAUUUUGCUGUUUAAUAGCCCAAUAUGCCUUAUGCUCUAGCUCCAUAAACGAGCCGGUACAUGCCAUGUUUUCCCAUAAACGAGCUGAAAGGGAGACAUCCUAAUCAGAGUUUUAUAUGUUGUUAUGUACUCUCAUAGAGCAUUGUUUAAUUCCAGACUCCAGUCUUUGUAAGUGGAGUUGACUGUUUUCUCUAGGACACGUUUUAUCUAUAUGUUGGAGGCUUCAACCUAUAAUGGCUACAAGAUGGGUGAUCCCAUAUUUUGCAAGGAAUGCAGCAAAGGGAUUAUUCAAGAAGUGCGGUAGAUAAAAGCUCUUGGAAUACCGAAACGCGAAAAAAUUGUAUGUUAGAGGAAAUCCAAGACCACUGACCCUUUGUUUGUAGGUCCUGAAAUUACCUCAACCCACUUAGAAACGUAUUCCACAACCACAAGAAUGUAUUGGUUCUCAUGGGAUCAUGGGAGUAAUUCAACAACAAGAAUACCCAGCUGCGUCAUGUCAUUCCACUUGGACUAGUUGCCCACUCGUUGAUAACAAUUACAAGCUUGACACCAAUUGUUUGCAUUGUUGAAAAGUGAAGGCCAAAACAACCCACUUUGCAAAAUCUUUGCUGAUGUUAUCUUCGACCCAAAGUGUCUACACGUACAGUGAUGGGCAAACUUCAAAACACUUUCUUGCUCAUCUUUUGGAAUACACGUCAAAUGAUCUAAUAUGGGGCAAUGGCGCAGGCCUAAGAAAAUACCUAGGAGCCCAAGGCCCCCAAGGGUUUAUAGAAGGCCAUGCAUCGAUCACACACCUCAUGCGUUGGCAGCAGAAGGCCAAGCGUCGACACCCCAUUUAGCACUGCAAACACUGCUAGACCCUAUUUGAGGCAUGCUUGAGAAAAUAAGCUUCGAAGUGGAAAACGUUUGACGCAGCCCUAACAACCGUAGAAAUGCCUCCCCGAGCAAGGGAUCCCAAUUACCCUCAUGACAUUGUUGGGAUCCCAAUUACCGGCAUGGGAAAUAUGAACACCUUGGAAGGUUCGGCUCCAAUGUCGUUCCCAACUCUUGUUCCAACCUCAAUAACUAUAGAAACACCUUAUUGAACAACGGAAGCCACUAUAGAGCCACCCUCAGUCAUGCAUUUCCAUGGCACGUAGAGCUAAACCAGGGCCCUUCUAUCAACCCUAGGCGACUGAACUUCGACCUCAAUGGCCCGAGCAAUGUGCCAUCAGAAGGUGGUACCCAGUCAUGCUACGAGGAUGACCCUAUCUCUAACAGCUUGGCAUAGGAAGCAUCACCGAACAAAUUCACAUAACCUCAGUAAGGUAUUUCAAGGGAGACUCCGACCCUUUGAGCCUUAUAAUGUCAUAUCGAAAUAUCAUGGCCUUGUACAACCAUAGUGACCCCUUAAUGUGCAAAAUGUUCCUUUCCACACUUAAAAAAUACACAAUGAAGUGGUAUGCAGAGCUCAUAACUGGAUCCAUCAUAGAUUUUACAACUCUGAGUGAUGAGUUCAUGAAAGCCUUAUCCGCGUAUAAGGAGGUAAAAAGUGGAGUGGAUACCCUAUUCUUGAUCAGCCAAAGGGACGAUGAAAGCCUCAGGGACUAGAUUAAGUGAUUCUACACUGACUACGCAGAGGUAGUGAUGAUCUCAUGGUCAUCACCGCAUUAAAAAUGGACUACUCAUUGAGUUCGAGUUAGUACGAAGCUUCAUUAGCCCAAAUAUGAGUACAUCACCCUCGCAGAAUGCUUUAACAAAGCGGAAGAAAUAAUUGCGUGAGUCGAGGAGUAUAGGCGGAAUGAAAAGCCAUCUAAGCCAGGCCCCAUCCCAAGACCGCAACCGACAAACAGAAAAGCAAGUGAACCCCGGUAUGAAUGCAAGUGAGGUAAGAAUAGGCACCCAAGGCAUGUGUAUCACUCGGAACCACGCAGCAAGCCUCAUAUGAUAAGUCUUUCUUUACCCUCGCAGGUAGUUUGGGUUCAGAUUUUUCUUAUUUCACUAUGCUAAAUACUUUCUUCAACAAUGUCUUGAACGAGAUUAUGAGGGAAGUAUUCUCCCUAAUCUCAUUCAAGACGUUGUUGAGGGAAAAAUUUAGCAAGGUGAAAGAAGGUAAAUCCCUACGAGGUUCCUUGUGUGUGGGUCCGAGGGAUCCGCGUGCCUUGGGCGCCUGUUCUUACCUCCUUUGCAUUUCUACUGGGGUUUGCUUGGUUUUCUGUCCAUCGACUGUAGUCUUGAGAUGGGGCCUAACUUGGACGACUUUCCAUUCUGCCUAUACUCUUUGUCCUACUCGACUAUUUCAAUUGCCUUGUCGAAACACUAUGUGAUGGUGAUGUACUCAUAUCUGGGUUUAUGGAGCUGUUAAGCUAGAACUCGGUGGAGAGUCCAUUUUGAGCUAGAACGCAAAAGUGAUGUAGUCUUUUUUUUAUCAUCGGGUCUAUCUACCUUCGCGUAUUCAGUGCGAAAUCGCUUGAUGUAGUCCUUGAGGGUCUCGUCGUCAUUUUGGCGAAUCAGGAAUACCUCCUUAUACACUGAGAUGGGAGCCCCGCAUACCACUUUAUGGUUUUUCCCUUAAAUGUGGAAGGGAACACUUUGCACAUCAAGGAGUCACUAUGGUUGUACAAGGCAAUGACGUUCUUGUAUGACAAUAUGUGAAUUUGUCCGGUGGGGCUUCCUAUGCCAAGGCGUAGGAGAAAGGGUCACCCUCGUAGCAUGUCUACUACCACCCUCUAACUGUACCUGGCUCAGGUCAUUGAGGUUAAAGUUUAGUCGUCUUGGGUUGACAGGGGGGCCCUGGUUUGGCUCUGCGCGCCCCGAGACUGCAUGACUAGGGAUGGCUCUACGAGGGCUUUCUCGCUCGGGAAUGAGCUUCUACGGUUGCUGAGGCUGGAACAGAAGUUGGGAACGACAUUAGAGCCAAACCUUCUAAGGUGUUUAGGUAUCCCAUACCGGUACUGGGAUCCCAGCAGUGUUGUGAGGGUAAUUGGGAUCCUUUUCUCAAGCAUGCCAUAUGGGGUGUCGACGCAUAACCGUAUGCCAAACAAGUAAAUACCAUGAGUCCAAGCGCCAAGAGGUGGUUCUUGGCAUGGAGGCUCCGAUGAUUAAGUUAGGAAAGUUUGAGAGGAAAUUGGUAUAAUGUAUUUCUGGGGUUCUAAGUGUCUAACUUUGGUUAAUGAGUCACCAUGACCUUGCGGAGUUGGUCCAUGUCAUUCGACAUUCCUCUGAGUUGUUGGGGACAUUGAAGACCAACAAAUGAACCAUUCUGAUGUACGUAUGCCACAUCAGGGAAGGACAAUUUGUCUCUUCCUCAUCAUGGGCGGAAGACGCAGCCAUGCCAGUAGGCACAAUCUGACAUUUGGCGUGGUUGAGAGGGUACGUCAAAGGUUUAACCCCAAGGAGUGAGUGUAUGUUAUCAUCACUCCGAGAAGAUGGUAUUUUGGGCCUCACAAUCUUCACUAUCAUGAAAUUCUAAUCGAGAUAAGAAGGUUUAUUAUACCCAAGCGUUGUGCCAGGUAGUUUCACAAUACUACGUAGUCAAAGAGGUAGGCCAACCUCGAAGCUAGAAAGAUUGUCAAAAGAGCCGGUCGUGUUUAAUCAAGAAAUGGAUUCAAAUUCUACAACCAAAUAAUGACCCCCCAAUCAUCUCAAUAGAGAUAGCCACCGGUAAGGUUACGCGAGUCUUUGUCAACAAUGGUAGCUCUAUAAAUGUCAUAUUCCUCUUGACCAUGGAAGAAAAUAUCGAUAAUAUCGGCGAUAUAUCGCCGAUAUUAUCAUUUUUUUCGUGCACCGAUAUUUUAGGUGGUAUCCAAGGGGUUUUCGGAAAAAUUUCGCGAUAUUAUCGAUAUUAUCGCGAAAUGUCGGAAA